rnacentral:lncRNA from 1 species
CCCACCUUUCCAGAUGUAGCAACAAAGUACAGUUUUAAUUUAUAGACGGGUGGUUUCCAUUAAAUCGACCCGUCUCGAAGCCACGAUUUCAUGGAAAAAUCUAUCAAUUUUGUUGUCUAUUGUAGAACCCAAUACAAUCAAAACCUGAACAGAAUCAACAUUUCUAGAUUUAACAGCCAGGGACAAGUCAGAUUCUCCCUUUAAAUCCCUUCCAUUUACAUCUGUACUAGCCUCAAUCAGGCCCGAAACGAAAUAUGAAUUUCCAUUCUUUACAACAAAUCUAAGCAAAUAACUUAACUGAAAGUCAUCACACCGAGAAAUUGCUUUUGAAAACAAGAAAUUCAUUUCCAGGGUCUAGUCUGAAGGCGAAAGAAGAAAUUCAACAACUUAGGGUCCAACAAAUGAGAUCGGUAUCGUAGCAUCUUUGAAUAUAUGCAGGCCGAGCUUUGAAACACAGUCGUCGAAGAUCAUCCUGAUGGGCUUUUUCGAUAGGCAGCAUCGAUGAUCGAACAAGGGCUAUCUCGAUGACAUUGAUAGCGGCGGCUGAUUCAGAAAUAGAGUGAGAGAUAGAGUUGAGAGAGAUGGGAUGAGAGAGAAAC